rnacentral:rRNA from 1 species
UACGUAGGGUGCGAGCGUUGUCCGGAAUUAUUGGGCGUAAAGGGCUCGUAGGCGGUUUGUCGCGUCGGGAGUGAAAUCCACUGGCUUAACUGGUGGCUUGCUUUCGAUACGGGCAGACUGGAGGUAUGCAGGGGAGAACGGAAUUCCUGGUGUAGCGGUGAAAUGCGCAGAUAUCAGGAGGAACACCGGUGGCGAAAGCGGCUCUCUGGAACGGUACUGACGCUGAGGUGCGAAAGCGUGGGGAGCAAACAGG